UACAGAGGUCUCAAGCGUUGUUCGGAUUCAUUGGGCGUAAAGGGUGCGUAGGCGGCGCGGUAAGUCGGGGUGUGAAAUCUCGGAGCUUAACUCCGAAACUGCAUUCGAUACUGCCGUGCUUGAGGACUGGAGAGGAGACUGGAAUUUACGGUGUAGCGGUGAAAUGCGUAGACAUCGUAAGGAAGACCAGUGGCGAAGGCGGGUCUCUGGACAGUUCCUGACGCUGAGGCACGAAGGUCAGGGGGAGCAAACGGG
rnacentral:rRNA from 1 species